CCUACGGGAGGCAGCAGUGAGGAAUAUUGCGCAAUGGGGGAAACCCUGACGCAGCAACGCCGCGUGGGUGAUGAAGGCCUUCGGGUCGUAAAGCUCUGUCAAGUGGGAAAAAAGCUUACUGGUGAAUAGCCAGGAAGACUGAUGGUACCAUUGAAGGAAGCACCGGCUAACUCCGUGCCAGCAGCCGCGGUAAUACGGAGGGUGCAAGCGUUGUUCGGAAUUACUGGGCGUAAAGGGCGUGUAGGCGGUGUGGUAUGUCAGAUGUGAAAGCCCUGGGCUUAACCCAGGAAGUGCAUUUGAAACUGCCAUGCUUGAGUAUGGGAGAGGAGAGUGGAAUUCCCAGUGUAGAGGUGAAAUUCGUAGAUAUUGGGAGGAACACCCGUGGCGAAGGCGACUCUCUGGACCAAUACUGACGCUGAGGCGCGAAAGCGUGGGGAGCAAACAGGAUUAGAUACCCUGGUAGUCCACGCCGUAAACGAUGAGCACUAGGUGUAGCGGGUAUUGACCCCUGCUGUGCCGUAGCUAACGCAUUAAGUGCUCCGCCUGGGGAGUACGGCCGCAAGGCUAAAACUUAAAGGAAUUGACGG
rnacentral:rRNA from 1 species